UAACCCUGAUCUACUCACCAUCUCCUCCCAGGCCUAACCCCUGAUGUAUGGACUCCAUUUUCCAGAGAUAAGGAUGUUUUUAUUUUUAUUCUAAGACAGGAAGAAGUUUAAACUGAAGGUUUGAUAGUGGGGAAGCAGAAUGAGGUAAAAGAAAGAGAAGAAUGUCAUGAAAACACUGGAAACCAUAGAGAAAUAUGAAGAAGCAAAGUACCCAAUAGCUUUUGUUCAGUAGGGAACUAGUUUUCUACCUGAGAGAAUCUGUAGGUUUGCAUACAUCUUAGAAACUUGGCAGUUGGAUGUGGAUGCAUUUAGAUCUGGGAGAGAAUAAAUAGACUGUGUCAAAUUUGAAACACUUCCAAUUACUGCUUGUUUCCUGUCAGAGGACAGCUUAUUUGGAGUCCAAUGGUGUCGAGAGCUGUCAGCUUGAAGCUAGCAAGAUUUGGAUACCAGCUGUUCUCACUUCAUACCAAGAUCCAGAGAGUGGCUAGGAUCUUCUGAUGAGAUCUCCCACAUGUCUUUGUUGAUAAUAACUGGAGCUGAAGUCAUAUGAAGGAUCAUAUGGAACAGACUUCAAAUGUGAUCACACAGAUGGAUGGUAAUACAAGAGCUUGAUUGCAGUAUAUUCCGGGAAAUCCUUCUGGACUGGGAAGUGAUAAAAUGGAGACAAUAUCUCAGAUUCUUCUGAGGAUCAAAGAGAAACACUGACUUUCUCCGCACUGCACGAGGGUAAUGAGGCUGGUGUAGUCUUUGGAUCCAGUCAUCUGU